rnacentral:sRNA from 1 species
CCCUCUGCGACAGUUUCCCGAGGUACCUAGUGUCUGAGCGGCACAGACGAGAUCUCGAUCGAAGGCGAGAUGGCGGACGUGCUAGAUCUUCACGAGGCUGGGGGCGAAGAUUUCGCCAUGGAUGAGGAUGGGGACGAGAGCAUUCACAAACUGAAAGAAAAAGCGAAGAAACGGAAGGGUCGCGGCUUUGGCUCCGGUGAGUGUGGGGAAAAUGGGGUAGAGUGGCCUAGUAGGGCAGGAGCUACGGGUUUUGGAGUCCCCACCCAACUCAUAGGAACAAUGGGAGAAAGUGGGAGUUUUCGGUGAUCUCGUGUAUGUCCCUUAUAGAAGAGGGGUCCCGAGCGCGGAUGCGUGAGGAUUAUGACAGCGUGGAGCAGGAUGGCGAUGAACCCGGACCACAACGCUCUGUUGAAGGCUGGAUUCUCUUUGUAACUGGAGUCCAUGAGGAAGCCACCGAAGAAGACAUACACGACAAAUUCGCAGAAUAUGGGGAAAUUAAAAACAUUCACCUCAACCUCGACAGGCGAACAGGAUAUCUGAAG